rnacentral:rRNA from 1 species
GAUCCUGGCUCAGGACGAACGCUGGCGGCGUGCCUAACACAUGCAAGUCGAGCGAGAAUUUCACGACGGAAUCCUUCGGGAUGAAGAUGUGAAAGGAAAGCGGCGGACGGGUGAGUAACGCGUGAGUAACCUGCCUAUCAGAGGGGGACAACAUUUCGAAAGGAAUGCUAAUACCGCAUAAAAUAACAGUACCGCAUGAUACAGUUAUCAAAGAUUUAUCGCUGAUAGAUGGACUCGCG